AUUGAACGCUGGCGGCAGGCCUAACACAUGCAAGUCGAGCGGAUGAAGGGAGCUUGCUCCUGGAUUCAGCGGCGGACGGGUGAGUAAUGCCUAGGAAUCUGCGUGGUAGUGGGGGAGAACGGCCGGAAACGGGCGCUAAUACCGCAUACGUCCUGAGGGAGAAAGUGGGGGAGCUUCGGACCUCACGCUAUCAGAUGAGCCUAGGUCGGAUUAGCUAGUUGGUGGGGUAAAGGCCUACCAAGGCGACGAUCCGUAACUGGUCUGAGAGGAUGAUCAGUCACACUGGAACUGAGACACGGUCCAGACUCCUACGGGAGGCAGCAGUGGGGAAUAUUGGACAAUGGGCGAAAGCCUGAUCCAGCCAUGCCGCGUGUGUGAAGAAGGUCUUCGGAUUGUAAAGCACUUUAAGUUGGGAGGAAGGGCAGUAAGUUAAUACCUUGCUGUUUUGACGUUACCAACAGAAUAAGCACCGGCUAACUUCGUG
rnacentral:rRNA from 1 species